AGGUAAGCUACUAAGAGCGAAUGGUGGAUGCCUUGACUGGUAAAGGCGAUGAAGGACGUACUAGACUGCGAUAAGCUACGGGGAGCUGUCAAGAAGCUUUGAUCCGUAGAUUUCCGAAUGGGGCAACCCAAUGUAUAGAGAUAUACAUUACCUAUAUAGGAGCGAACGAGGGGAAUUGAAACAUCUUAGUACCCUCAGGAAAAGAAAUCAAUAGAGAUUGCGUCAGUAGCGGCGAGCGAAAGCGCAAGAGGGCAAACCCAGUGCUUGCACUGGGGGUUGUAGGACUGCAAUGUGCAAGAGCUGAGUUUAGCAGAACAUUCUGGAAAGUAUAGCCAUAGAGGGUGAUAGUCCCGUAUGCGAAAAACAAAGCUUAGCUAGCAGUAUCCUGAGUAGGGCGGGACACGAGGAAUCCUGUCUGAAUCCGGGUCGACCACGAUCCAACCCUAAAUACUAAUACCAGAUCGAUAGUGCACAAGUACCGUGAGGGAAAGGUGAAAAGAACUGAGGUGAUCAGAGUGAAAUAGAACCUGAAACCAUUUGCUUACAAUCAUUCAGAGCACUAUGUAGCAAUACAGUGUGAUGGACUGCCUUUUGCAUAAUGAGCCUGCGAGUUGUGGUGUCUGGCAAGGUUAAGCAAACGCGAAGCCGUAGCGAAAGCGAGUCUGAAUAGGGCGCUUAGUCAGAUGCUGCAGACCCGAAACGAAGUGAUCUAUCCAUGAGCAAGUUGAAGCUAGUGUAAGAACUAGUGGAGGACUGAACCCAUAGGCGUUGAAAAGCCCCGGGAUGACUUGUGGAUAGGGGUGAAAGGCCAAUCAAACUUCGUGAUAGCUGGUUCUCUCCGAAAUAUAUUUAGGUAUAGCGUUGUGUCGUAAUAUAAGGGGGUAGAGCACUGAAUGGGCUAGGGCAUACACCAAUGUACCAAACCCUAUCAAACUCCGAAUACCUUAUAUGUAAUCACAGCAGUCAGGCGGCGAGUGAUAAAAUCCGUCGUCAAGAGGGAAACAACCCAGACUACCAGCUAAGGUCCCUAAGUCUUACUUAAGUGGAAAACGAUGUGAAGUUACUUAAACAACCAGGAGGUUGGCUUAGAAGCAGCCAUCCUUUAAAGAAAGCGUAAUAGCUCACUGGUCUAGUGAUUUUGCGCGGAAAAUAUAACGGGGCUAAAGUAAGUACCGAAGCUGUAGACUUAGUUUACUAAGUGGUAGGAGAGCGUUCUAUUUGCGUCGAAGGUAUACCGGUAAGGAGUGCUGGAGCGAAUAGAAGUGAGCAUGCAGGCAUGAGUAGCGAUAAUUAAUGUGAGAAUCAUUAACGCCGUAAACCCAAGGUUUCCUACGCGAUGCUCGUCAUCGUAGGGUUAGUCGGGUCCUAAGUCGAGUCCGAAAGGGGUAGACGAUGGCAAAUUGGUUAAUAUUCCAAUACCAACAUUAGUGUGCGAUGGAAGGACGCUUAGGGCUAAGGGGGCUAGCGGAUGGAAGUGCUAGUCUAAGGUCGUAGGAGGUUAUACAGGCAAAUCCGUAUAACAAUACUCCGAGAACUGAAAGGCUUUUUGAAGUCUUCGGAUGGAUAGAAGAACCCCUGAUGCCGUCGAGCCAAGAAAAGUUUCUAAGUUUAGCUAAUGUUGCCCGUACCGUAAACCGACACAGGUGGGUGGGAUGAGUAUUCUAAGGCGCGUGGAAGAACUCUCUUUAAGGAACUCUGCAAAAUAGCACCGUAUCUUCGGUAUAAGGUGUGGUUAGCUUUGUAUUAGGAUUUACUCCGAAAGCAAGGAAACUUACAACAAAGAGUCCCUCCCGACUGUUUACCAAAAACACAGCACUCUGCUAACUCGUAAGAGGAUGUAUAGGGUGUGACGCCUGCCCGGUGCUCGAAGGUUAAUUGAUGGGGUUAGCAUUAGCGAAGCUCUUGAUCGAAGCCCGAGUAAACGGCGGCCGUAACUAUAACGGUCCUA
rnacentral:rRNA from 1 species